CUGUUUAAGUGUGUUGGUAGGUGUGUGGGCUACCACAUACACCUGGUACCCUGGACCUCUAGGUAAUGGAGGUUUGGUAGUGGUUUCAGAGAUGCUGUUAAAGUUCUGAUCGGGUUAAAGUCCUAUACCUCUCCUUUACCACGUGCCUCUCUCUUCCUGCUUUUUCUCCCAUAGAGGCCAGAGUCUCAGGUAGGUGUGGAUUGGAUGCAGAUGUUGUGCUAAAGUUGUUGAUAAUACAAAAUCCCUCGCUCUGUCUCUCCCAAAUUACUUUGGCUUCCUCCACCACCACCACCUGAAAAGCAGUCUGAAUUUCCUGUAGGACCAGAGCUGGUGGCAACUGAAGGGAACCAGCUGGAUUCUUGUGACAGUGUGGCAGCUUUCAUGGUGACUUUCUCCCAGUGCUCCUCCCCCACAAAAUUACUAGCUUCAUUUGCUCAAUUUCCCAACUUUGUUUUGUGUGCCUUCUCUGAUAUUUCUUUUCCCCCCUGUUUUAAACCGUUUUCACAGGAUAUUAGAGGCUUCGGAUUUGCAGUCAGAAAACUCAAACCGAUGUGGUGAUCGAGUCACCCAAUUCGGCGUAACUGGCAUUUCGAACAUGGAAGGAAACGGCGCCAUUUCCGACGUAGAGAAACCGCACACGUGUUCCGUGUGUGGGAAAAGCUUUGCUGAUUCGUCUUACCUGUCAGCACACCAGCGCGUUCACACUGGGGAGAAACCAUUCAACUGCCCCCAGUGUGGAAAGGGAUUCACUUGGUCCUCCAGCCUGCUGAGGCAUCUGCGAAUCCAUAGCGGAGUGAAGCCGUUCACCUGCUCGGAGUGUGGGAGAGGGUUCGCUCAGUCAUCCCACCUGCUGACCCACCAGCGAGUGCACACCGGAGAGAGACCGUUCAUCUGCUCAGUGUGUGGGAAGGGGUUCGCUCAGUCAACCCACCUGCUGAUACACGAGCGGGUGCACACCGGAGAGAGACCGUUCAUCUGUUCGGAGUGCGGAAAAGGAUUCACGCAUUCUUCCAAGCUGCUGGAACACCAGCGAAUCCACACCGGGGAGAAACCAUUCACCUGCUCUGGCUGUGGGAAGGGAUUCACUCAGUCGACCCACUUGCUGAUACACCAGCGCGUUCACACCGGGGAGAGACCGUUCACUUGCUCCGUGUGUGGGAAGGGAUUCACUCGGACGUCCAAACUGUUAAUACACCAGCGGGUUCACAAAGAACCACAGUUGAACGACUUUGCACUUCCUCAGACCAAGACAUGAACCGUGGCCGUUGGGUGAUUUGGCCCGACUCUGCUGUAUCAGAGGUGCUGGUGCUGCGGUGGGAAUGUUGAGAACAAGUAGGUAUUUCUCGGUUAGCUUUUGGAAAUGAUGCCAACUCGCUGUACCUCAACGCAUUAACACUGGACGCAGACUGUCCACCUACGCGGUUUGGGAAUUGGGAUUUUCUGGUUCAUCAGGACUGGGUAAACACCAAUGUAACUGCAGGGGUCAGAGUUUGCUAUCGACAUUCAAAUCCAAGCCCCUGCUUCCUGGGGUCUGUAUUCUGAUGAUGUUUGGAAACACCACCAAGUUCGGUCGUCUGUUUGGACCAAAAUAAGGGCAUUUGUGAAGGGUCGUUUCUGAGGAACAAGGCUCAAACUGGACAUUGUGCCAAGAGCGCCCUGAGUAGUUUAAUUCAUCGGGACCUGGAUUCU